GGCAGGGGCCUUUACUACCUCAGUUUCCCCAGCUUUGGUUUGCAAUGCUUUCCUGGUGGCUCCCAGCUCAGCCUGGAGAAGAAGGAGAGCUGGGACCAAGAAGAUUUUUAGCAGAUGAAGGACACAUGGCCAUGUCCUCAGAACCCCACAGUCUGAGAGAAGCAACAGCCCUGCCCUUGCCAGCUCUCAGCCCCAGAGAUGGGAGCUUGCCUGAUUGUCUACCCAUCAACCUGGACCCCAGAGCCUGCCCAGCUGAGUGUGUGCAGAGGGUCCCAGGUGAGGGGCGCUGCUCAGGCCUCUGCAGAGACCACCCUGGAGACACUGACAGAGAGAGGCCUUUCCUACUGAGCCUGGCCUCUCUGCACAGCCUGUUCAGAAAGAAGAACUGAGGCUCAUGGAUAUACACUAAGCCCCCCUCCCCCAAUCCUGCCACCUAGCCUGAGGACUCUUCCCUGCACCUUGAUAACCUGAGAGAACUGGGAGGAGAAAGGGG
rnacentral:lncRNA from 1 species